rnacentral:lncRNA from 1 species
CAAAAUAGAUAUAGGAAGAUGUGGUGUGAGUGCCAAUGAGACAACUCUCCAUCCAAAAAAAUAAUUUAAAAAAAGUAAACCAUAAUAGGUCAAUGUACAGCCUUCAACACGGAGCCUUGGCUCACACCGAACAACAAGCUAUAAAGGGCCCCAAAAUUACUAGUGUAAAACCAUUCAAACGGGAAAACCAAUUGUCUAAUCUAUAUAAAAUAAAAAAACGAGAAACGAGAAACACGUAUAAAUUACAUAAACAAACGUCAACUACUGUACAUCAGAUUCCUGACUUAGGACAGGUGCAAACAUUUGCAGCGGGAUUAAACGUUUUAAUGGAUCCAAACCUUCUCCUUUUUUCUGAAACAAUAGCAUUACAUCACAACAUAGAAAAACACACG